GGAUUGUGGCUCAGUGGUAGAUUACUUGCCUAGCAUGCAUGAGGCACUGGGUUCAAUACUCAGCACCA
rnacentral:tRNA from 1 species